rnacentral:lncRNA from 1 species
GCGAUACAGUUGGGGACUGGAGUGAUCUACGCCUGCUGGGAAGAGCAUGUUGUGGUGAUGUCGCUUAUGGCUGCUAUGCUGAUGAUCUUGGCGGGGUCUGGUUUGGCUGUGCCGAAGAUGAAGGCAGAGUUAGAGGUCAAGUACAGGAAGAGAUAUGAACUGGCAUUGAGAGAAGGGACAACGACCAAGGAUAUGAGAAAAACACCUGAGGAACUGAAGGAUGAUCUGAGGAAGUUUUGGAUAAUGGCGCAUAGUAGCGACCCGCAAUUCGUGCUGGGGCGUUCGGCCACGUGUACUGCCUCGGGCGCUCUGUGUAUACUCGGCGCCAUGGUUCUAGCG